CAGCAGCCACGGGAAUACGGAGGGUGCGAGCGUUAAUCGGAAUUACUGGGCGUAAAGCGUGCGUAGGCGGUUCGUUAAGUCUGUUGUGAAAGCCCCGGGCUCAACCUGGGAAUGGCAAUGGAUACUGGCGAGCUAGAGUGUGUCAGAGGAUGGUGGAAUUCCCGGUGUAGCGGUGAAAUGCGUAGAGAUCGGGAGGAACAUCAGUGGCGAAGGCGGCCAUCUGGGACAACACUGACGCUGAGACACGAAAGCGUGGGGAGCAAACAGGAUUAGAUACCCCUGUAGUCCCUGUCUCUUAUAC
rnacentral:rRNA from 1 species